AAAGGUGUCCAAACCUCCCUGUCAAAGGGGUCAGAUUUCAGAAGGUAAAAAGGCUGGGCCUGGUUAGUACUUGGAUGGGAGACCACUAGGAAAAUCAGUUGCCACAGUGG
rnacentral:rRNA from 1 species